GACGAACGCUGGCGGCGUGCCUAAUACAUGCAAGUUGAGCGAUGAAGAUUGGUGCUUGCACCAAUUUGAAGAGCAGCGAACGGGUGAGUAACGCGUGGGGAAUCUGCCUUUGAGCGGGGGACAACAUUUGGAAACGAAUGCUAAUACCGCAUAACAACUUUAAACAUAAGUUUUAAGUUUGAAAGAUGCAAUUGCAUCACUCAAAGAUGAUCCCGCGUUGUAUUAGCUAGUUGGUGAGGUAAAGGCUCACCAGGGCGAUGAUACAUAGCCGACCUGAGAGGGUGAUCGGCCACAUUGGGACUGAGACACGGCCCAAACUCCUACGGGAGGCAGCAGUAGGGAAUCUUCGGCAAUGGACGAAAGUCUGACCGAGCAACGCCGCGUGAGUGAAGAAGGUUUUCGGAUCGUAAAACUCUGUUGGUAGAGAAGAACGUUGGUGAGAGUGGAAAGCUCAUCAAGUGACGGUAACUACCCAGAAAGGGACGGCUAACUACGUG
rnacentral:rRNA from 1 species